GCUGGCAUGGCUCAGUUGGUAGAGCACGUCAUUGGUAAUGACGAGGUCAUCAGUUCGACUCUGAUUGCCAGCUCCA
rnacentral:tRNA from 1 species